CGCAUUCAUGGGAAAGGAGGAAAAAGGAAGGAACAGAGGGAGGGAAGGAAGGGAGGGAGGGAAGGAAAGAGGGGAAGAAGAAAGGAGGGAGAAAAAGCAGGGAGAGAUGAGAGAAGGGAAGGAACGGAAUGCAGAAGAAAAAAGUCUGAGCUCUUCAUGCUACCAGAAAAGCAGUUCCAACCCUCAACUCAACACGGAAAAUUAUCAAGUAGACCAUGAAAGGUAAUGUUUAGGUCCCGCAUUCAUGAGAUUCAGAUUUCAGGCAGGUAUUUCCAAUGCAGAAAGGUACUAUUACAAGAUGAUUUUUGUUUUUUUUGCUCUUCCAUGUCCAAACCUUUUUCCAUUCUAUAUCUACUAUUGCACAUUCAGAUUUCUCACUGAAAUUCUACUUUUCUCUCAUCAUUCUUAUCACAAAACUUGAAUCUUUUGAACACCAAACAGAUAAGAAAUAGUCCAAAACUCCCUUUCAAAUUUUUAACAUAAAACACAUAUAAUCAAUUCUUCCUCUUGUCUCUUUGCAGUCUCUUCAAUAGCUUGGAUCCAUCUUCCUACUGUCUUCUACAGGACUUUGAUCAACAGCCACUCCAAGAGUCUCUCUAUAUCCAGUCUCUAGGGUUUCCACAACCACACCAAGGGUAGGGUUGAAUAUGGUUGUUUGCCUCCAAAGCUCAUGUUAAAUUUGCCUGCUACUCUGGUGGUGUUGGGAAAUGGGGCUUUGCAGAGAGGAUCAGUCACUUAGAGGAAUUAAUAUCUUUAUGCUGUCACUGGAUUAGUUACCUUGAGAGUGGGUCGUUACAAAGUAAAGUUGCUUUCCUGGUGUUUUGUCUCUUCCCAUACACGUACUUGCCCUUCUGCUCUUGCUAUGAGUUGAGCAAAGUGGGUCCUCAUGAGAUAUUCAGCAGAGCCAGUCAGUACUGUGCUCCUGGGCUUUCCAGCCUCCAGAAUCACAAGCUGAAACAAGCCCCUCUUCUUUACAACUGACCCUUCUCAAGUAUUCUGUUCUAGCAACAUAAAAUGGACUAAGGCAGGUUGCAAUCGUGCAUGUCUACAUCGAUUCCACUUCAUCUUUUUUACCCGCAUGUGCCCUGGUGCUAUUGCUAACCCACUCUCCACGCCCAAGCAUUCAAGCUCCUGUACAGAGUAUUCAUCAUUUGCUGAGUACUCAUGCUUUUUACCACGCCAUUUACUCUCCUAAACACACUGUAAUCUUGCACCUACUCUCCUCAACUGGCAAAGUUUGUGAUAAACUCAUGACAUUCAUUCAAAUUUAUCUAGUAUAGUAAUGCCUACUAUAUAGUUAAAUAAAAAGAUAUGACGAUGUGAAACAAGUCCAAAUACACACAGCUAGGAAGAGGUAAACCCAAUAUUGACCUGACCCCAGGAUCUUCAUUCUUCACCUGCCUUCCUG
rnacentral:lncRNA from 1 species